rnacentral:rRNA from 1 species
UACGUAGGGGGCAAGCGUUGUCCGGAAUCAUUGGGCGUAAAGAGCGUGUAGGCGGCCCGGUAAGUCCGCUGUGAAAGUCCAGGGCUCAACCCUGGGAUGCCGGUGGAUACUGUCGGGCUCGAGUCCGGAAGAGGCGAGUGGAAUUCCUGGUGUAGCGGUGAAAUGCGCCAGAUAUCAGGAGGAACACCAAUGGCGAAGGCAGCUCGCUGGGACGUGACUGACGCUGAGACGCGAAAGCGUGGGGAGCAAACAGG